AUUGAACGCUGGCGGCAGGCCUAACACAUGCAAGUCGAACGAGUGGCGGACGGGUGAGUAAUGUCUGGGAAUCUCCCUGCUGGCGGGGGAUCACUACUGGAAACUGUAGCUAAUACCGCAUACCAUAAGAUGUGCCCAGAUGGGAUUAGCUAGUUGGUGGGGUAACGGCUCACCAAGGCGACGAUCCCUAGCUGGUGUGAGAGGAGGACAAGCGAAAUUGGAACGGAGACACGGUCAAGACGCCGAGGGGAGGCAGAAGUGGGGAAUAUUGGGCAAGGGGGGAAAGCCGGACGCAGCCAGGCCGCGGGUAGGAAGAAGGCCUUCGGGGUGUAAAGUACUGUCGGCGGGGAGGCGUUACCUGCAGAAGAAGCACCGGCUAACUCCGUGCCAGCAGCCGCGGUAAUAC
rnacentral:rRNA from 1 species